CUUAAGUGGGGAAUAACGCAUCGAAAGGUGUGCUAAUACCGCAUAAUCUCUGAGGAGAAAAGCAGGGGAUCGCAAGACCUUGCGCUUUUGGAGCGGCCGAUGUCUGAUUAGCUUGUUGGUAAGGUAAAAGCUUACCAAGGCUUCGAUCAGUAGCUGGUCUGAGAGGACGACCAGCCACACUGGGACUGAGACACGGCCCAGACUCCUACGGGAGGCAGCAGUGGGGAAUUUUGGACAAUGGGGGCAACCCUGAUCCAGCCAUGCCGCGUGAGUGAAGAAGGCCUUCGGGUUGUAAAGCUCUUUCAGCCGGAACGAAACGGUUACGGUUAAUACCCGUGACUACUGACGGUACCGGAAGAAGAAGCACCGGCUAACUACGUGCCAGCAGCCGCGGUAAUACGUAGGGUGCGAGCGUUAAUCGGAAUUACUGGGCGUAAAGCGUGCGCAGGUGGUUUUGUAAGUCAGAUGUGAAAUCCCCGGGCUCAACCUGGGAACUGCGUUUGAAACUACAAGGCUAGAGUGUGGCAGAGGGGGGUGGAAUUCCGCGUGUAGCAGUGAAAUGCGUAGAGAUGUGGAGGAACACCGAUGGCGAAGGCAGCCCCCUGGGUCAACACUGACGCUCAGGCACGAAAGCAUGGGGAGCAAACAGGAUUAGAUACCCUGGUAGUCCAUGCCCUAAACGAUGUCAACUAGUUGUCGGGCCUUAACGGGCUUGGUAACGUAGCUAACGCGUGAAGUUGACCGCCUGGGGGAGUACGAUCGCAAGAUUAAAACUCAAAGGAAUUGACGGGGACCCGCACAAGCGGUGGAUUAUGUGGAUUAAUUCGAUGCAACGCGAAAAACCUUACCUACCCUUGACAUGUAUCGAAGCCCGCAGAAAAGCGGGGGUGCCCGAAAGGGAACGAUAACACAGGUGCUGCAUGGCCGUCGUCAGCUCGUGUCGUGAGAUGUUGGGUUAAGUCCCGCAACGAGCGCAACCCUUGUCAUUAAUUGCCAUCAUUUAGUUGGGCACUUUAAUGAGACUGCCGGUGACAAACCGGAGGAAGGUGGGGAUGACGUCAAGUCCUCAUGGCCCUUAUGGGUAGGGCUUCACACGUAA
rnacentral:rRNA from 1 species